UGCCUACGGGGCGCAGCAGUAGGGAAUCUUCCACAAUGGGCGAAAGCCUGAUGGAGCAACGCCGCGUGGGUGAAGAAGGUCUUCGGAUCGUAAAACCCUGUUGUUAGAGAAGAAAGUGCGUGAGAGUAACUGUUCACGUUUCGACGGUAUCUAACCAGAAAGCCACGGCUAACUACGUGCCAGCAGCCGCGGUAAUACGUAGGUGGCAAGCGUUAUCCGGAUUUAUUGGGCGUAGAGGGAACGCAGUCGGUCUUUUAAUUCUGAUUUUAAAGCCUUCGUCUUAACCUGAGUAGUGCUUU
rnacentral:rRNA from 1 species